GCAUCGAUAGCUGAGUGGCAUAGCGGUGGGGCGUUGACCCAUGCGGCCCGGGUUCGACCCCUGGCCGAUGCA